CUGACAUCUGGGCUGAGCUGAAGGAGCUGAGAGACAUGGCCAUCAAACACAGUGUGGAGCUGAGCAACAGCAAGAGCAAGAUGAAGAAGCUGGAGCAGGAGAAUACAGCCAUACAGGCCAGACUGACAGCCAGUGAAAGCAACAAUGCAGUGUUGGAGACCAGAAUGAACACCA